UAGAUUUCCUUGAUUUAAUAAUGAUAUUGCUCAUAGAAAUUGAUAAUGUGAAGAAUAACAAUACAGGAACAUAGAAUAACAAGAAAGAAAUUCUAGCAGCAAGGACACAGUAAAAAGACAAAACAUUUAGACCCUUUGAAAGAGAAAUGUUUGCAAUGAAUAUUAAUAAAAUAAUAAAAAAAUUAAUUAAUAUUAUAAUAUUAAUAAAUAAAAUUUAUUAUUAGUUGGCUAGUGUGUUAGUAGGAUAGGGAAGUAUGAAGUCGUCAGGUACCUAUUAAUAAUAGGAAUUGAUCAAAGCUUAUACAUUUAUUGUGAUAUUUAUAUUGUGAAUUUAAGUAGUUAGUUUUGGUUGUUUAAUAAACGAAUUAAUGUGC